AACGAACGCUGGCGGCAUGCCUAACACAUGCAAGUCGAACGAGACCUUCGGGUCUAGUGGCGCACGGGUGCGUAACGCGUGGGAAUCUGCCCUUAGGUUCGGAAUAACUUCGGGAAACUGAAGCUAAUACCGGAUGAUGACGUAAGUCCAAAGAUUUAUCGCCUAAGGAUGAGCCCGCGUUGGAUUAGCUAGUUGGUGAGGUAAAGGCUCACCAAGGCGACGAUCCAUAGCUGGUCUGAGAGGAUGAUCAGCCACACUGGGACUGAGACACGGCCCAGACUCCUACGGGAGGCAGCAGUGGGGGAAUAUUUGGACAAUGGGCGAAAGACCUGGAUCCAGCAAUGCCGCGUGAGUGAUGAAGGCCUUA
rnacentral:rRNA from 1 species